GUUAGGAGUAUUCCUGAGGGAGCGGUAAAAUGCUAUAAUCUCAGGAGGACUACCUGUGGCGAAGGCGCCUAACGAGAACGGGUCUGACGGUGAGGAACGAAAGCUAGGGGAGCAAACCGGAUUAGAUUUCGAGAAGUUUCUAAAUCUCUUUGUUGUUUUCUCAACAAUACUACUGACAAAGAAAAAAAUGAUGGAACUUGAAUUUCAACUCGACUAAUUACCCGAGUAGUCCUAGCCGUAAACGCUGUGUACUAGAUGUGGCAUAUUCUAUAUGGAUAUGCCGUGUCGAAGCGAAGGUAUUAAGUACACCGCCUGGGAAGUACGGUCGCAAGGCUGAAACUUAAAGGAAUUGGCGGGAGAGCACCACAAGGGGUGCGGCGUGCGGUUUAAUCCAACUCAACGCGGAGAAUCUCACCAGCAGCGACGGCAGGAUGAAGGUCAGAUUAAAGGUCUUACCUAACAAGCCGAGAGGUAGUGCAUGGCCGUCGGCAGCUCGUGCCGUAAGGUGUCCUCUUAAGUGAGGUAACGAGCGAGACCCAUACCCAUAAUUGCUAACGGGUUCUUUAGAAUGACCGAGCACAUUAUGGGGACUGCCUUGGAAACAAGGAGGAAGGUGUGGGCCACGGUAGGUCUGUACGCUCCGAAUCUGCUGGGCUACACGCGCGCAACAAUGGCAAGGACAAUAGGAUGCGACACCGAAAGGUGAAGCCAACCCCGUAAACCUUGUCUUAGUUUGGAUUGAGGGCUGUAACUCGCCCUCAUGACAACGGAAUCCCUAGUAAUCGGACUUCAUCAUGGUCCGGUGAAUAUGUCCCUGCUCUUUGCACACACCGCCCGUCAAACCAACCGAGUUGGGUCCAGGUGAGAUGCAGCUUUCAGCUGCCUCGAACCUAGAUUCGGUGAGGUGGGUUAAGUCGUCACAAGGUAGCCGUAGGGGAACCUACGGCUG
rnacentral:rRNA from 1 species